rnacentral:rRNA from 1 species
GUGUGACCUCAAAUCAGGUAGGACUACCCGCUGAACUUAAGCAUAUCAAUAAGCGGAGGAAAAGAAACUAACUAGGAUUCCCCUAGUAACUGCGAGUGAAGCGGGAAAAGCUCAAAUUUAAAAUCUGGCAGUUCUUCUACUGUCCGAGUUGUAAUCUAGAGAAGUGUUAUCUGCG